CAAUCUGAUCACGCUCUCCUCCAUGCCAAACGGAUCCUUGGUUCGGAGGUGCGCGAUGCCGACGAUGACAACCUUUCUAUCGACGCAAGGGCAGCAGGAGCUCAUGACGCUGUUGAUGGCACCACCAUGCACAGGGUUGAUGCAAGGUGGGACAAUGCGAUCACUAAUGGGGAGAACAUAAAACUUCAAUUGAGGGCACUGUGAUUCUCUAGCUACAUGUAUCAUAGCUUCUGCAGGAGGGCGUCACCUGCGGCAUCACUUGCAUCGACCUCUCACCGAUCACCGUCCCGAGGAUGCACGACAGACUAGCAGAGCAGGGCACCAGUGAUUGUUUCACCAAUUUGCUCGACUCAUUGUUCCCUUCCUCUGUCCAUGCAACGUUGCCCAUUGUUGCUAAGUUGUUAAUUCAUCAGGCCCAUUAUUGUGGCUACAUAGUCUGUUCAUCUUGCCUGCCUUCUUAGGAGAAACCAAUUUACUGAAGGUUGGCAAUUCCGAAGUUAUUGCCUUUCUACUUCAAACUGAAAUAAUUCCUCUUUGUCUUUAAUAUGGAGAUGGGUACUGAACUUUAAAAAACAGUAUGAACUCAACCCCUUCUGUAAAUCAAAUAUUUCAUUUGUGGGGACGAUGUGGGGCUCAUGUCGAGCACUUCACCUGCAAUGGGUGUGGCCUUCUCCGUCUGCCAAACAUGCUACAAGUACGAGCACCAUGAGGGAACUGCCUGGAGUGCAAGACCUGCCACAAGCUCCUCAAGGGUCAGUCAGCCUCCACCCACGACCGAAGGCACUUGCAGAUGUGAAGAAUAUCCAUGUCCGAUUACAUCGCCAGAAAGCAAAAACCAUGAGGGCCCACCCUAAUCAUCAAGGGAUUUUUGAAACGAGCAGAAGAUUAGUAACUUCUACGACAUCAAAGAUCUGACCUUUUAGAGUAUGCACCAUAUUGAUUUACUUAUUGAUUUAUUCACACUAUAUCAGAUUUGUCUUGAACGUGAUACAUUAUUGACUGUACUGGACAAGGGAAGUUAACUGUUUUAAUUAUAUAGGAUUAGUAUGCACCAAUUGCUGCAUAAGUUCUCCUUGAUACCAAUUUACAUACUUGUGCUACUAGGCCUUUGGUCAGUUUGCAACUGGUAUUUUAGACAUGUACGAGUAUUCUCAUGGUAUUUCUAUAUAUUUUAAUUAGUACCAGAUGGAAUUUGCGAAUUAGUCUUACAAAGAGAAGAGAAAAGGAAACAUUAUUCACGAGUUUGCAGGAAUAUGGAAACUCAAGGUAGUCUGUUAGCAUAAGUAAAAAAUGUUUUUCAUUUUAUUUCUUGGUUCGACCAAAUUAUAUUUUAUCCGAACGUAUGGAUGAUCGACACAAUGGACGUACGUAGUUUCUAGUUAGCACUACUCGGAUAACAAUUAUGCCUACUAUUACCAUUUUUGUGCAUUGUUUGGUCUUAUGCAUUUUAGUUAAAUACAUCCUUUGUGGCGAAUAAUGAUUUUUGAGCAUACUAUCUUCUUUUCAUGUGGGGAAAUCGCUGAUAGAAAAGAAAAUUGUGUUUCUGAUAUGUUAUGCUUAUUUCUAAGUGCUUCCAAUUUCGAACUACUAGGUAUGCAGCCUUAGAUGAACAACUACCUCUUUAUUUGCUUGAGGAUGAUUUGAUUGUGCAAUUAAGACUACAUAAUUUCACUUUUCAUUUAUAUUUAUUGGUGAGGGCGAGCUGGCGGCGACAUGGCGCGCUGGUGGCGUGACCGCGGGUUCGGCCAGGGUGCAAGCCAAUCUGGCAUGUGCGCUGGCGAAGUAAGGCGUAGAGGUGCUCCGGCCGGCUGGGUGCGUUGGUCCGUGGCGGAGGUGCGAGGUGGGCGUGGAUCUGGCGCCUAGCAUGCGCGAGGGAGGACAUAUGGGCGUUGUGCGUUUCUUCGCGGCGGGAGGUGUGACUGUGCUGCUCUGCAGAUUGAUGACGUUGUUCUCCUGGUUUCGUGGAUCUGCAGCGGGGUAGCCGGUGGUUGCGGCGCCAGAGAAUGCUGGGGCAGCGGCCUCGGGCUGAUGGCUGCUAUGGCAGGGGCUGCUGCACCGGCUCAGGAUGGUGGAUUUGGAGCGAUGCACUCAGAUCUGACCCUGGCAACCGCGUUGGUUCUAUGUCGCAUGAGUUGCUGCAGCUAGUCCUCGCGUGAGGGCUAUGCCGGCUGACGGCAGGGGGGUGCCCUACACAAUGUGCUUGGCUCUGAUGGUCUGGGUAUCGUUGCGUGACCAGAUUUGCAAGCAAGCUCACUGAUAGGAGAUCAGGGGCUCAGGCGAAAGCUCCGUGACCUUCUUAGAGGCAUAGUCAUAGACAUCUUCCUAUCCUUUCAUGUGCUUGGGUUCUCCGGGUGAGAACCUAAACUCCAGUUUUCUGGAGUGGGUGGCGGCGGCGUUUACGUCGUAACCAUCUUCAGAGGCGUUGCCUUGGAGGGCCAGCCUUUGGAUGUCGUGUGGGGCUCUUUCGUUUUCAAGGGCGGUGUAUGUCGGGGCUGCGGCUCCGGGAUCUUCUAUUAAGUGUCGAGGCUGCGGCCUCGGGCAGUACUGCGACGACAGCUCCAAGAGGUAGGGCUGCUUGUUGGCAUGGCUUGGGUGAGGACCUUGAAGUGCGGAAGCAGCAAGGUUGUCAGCUCCGUCAAUGCGCCCCAGUCGGGACUGUUGGACGACAUGUUGGGGCAGCGGCCCAGGAUGUGGUGCAGCGUUCGUGGUCUAUGUGCGGUUGGCCUGAGCAGCGUGAGCUGCGGGUAGCUGUAUCGUUCGGCGUAGUGCCGGCCAGGUUGUCGCUCAUCCAGGUUGCCGACCGGGAAGAGGUGUAGUGCCGGCCAAGACGAGAACAAGGGGAAGCUGCUUGGUUGUCUGUGUUCAUCAAAGAUCAGGAGUAGUAGAAAUUCUUAAGGGCAUUGGGAUAUUGAACUGCAGAUAGCUUCGGCAGGUUUGUUAGGCUAAUAUAAAGUAGGGACCUUUGCUACAUAAUGAUACAAAGAUGAUACCGAAGGUUGUUUUGCAACUAGCAAGUUUCAAGGUCACAUGGAUGCUGACAGCUCUCAGGUGUAUGGCCUAUUUGUUGCUGGGUAUUGUUGCCUUUCUUCCUGGUUUAUACAGCGGAGGAUCCUGAGUUGAUGCAUAUAUUGGCUCAAAAAGUAACUAGGCUCUGAAGUGCAGAUUGACAAGAGAGUUUCUGCUGCUAUUUGUUAAAUCUUAAAGAAACGUCUGUUCCUGAGGUUUACAAGUCCCCUUGUUCAAAUAUGAAAAUGAUUUAUUUGCAAACUUCAAUGCAAAAUGCCAUCCAGGGGGCCAGGGCGAUUAGAUGCCCAUCACUCACGGCGGCAAGAAGUUCCGUGUCGAGUUGAUGAACCAGCACCAGCUGGGAGCCCGGAUGAAGAAGGUUGUCCCCGCGGAGAAAAAGGAGAAGUGAUGAGAUGUUUUUGACAGCUAAUGGAUGAUGUUAUCUUAGUCUGUGAAUUUUUGUUUUGGUCGAUUUAGAAACCUUGUUUGAUGUCUGAAGAUCCCUUUUUGCCCACUGUUCAAACCAUCUCUUCAUUUUUGUGUAAAUGGUAACAAUACACUUCAAACAA